UGGGGAAUUUUGGACAAUGGGCGAAAGCCUGAUCCAGCAAUGCCGCAUGUGUGAAGAAGGCCUUCGGGUUGUAAAGCACUUUUGUCCGGAAAGAAAUCCUUGGCUCUAAUACAGUCGGGGGAUGACGGUACCGGAAGAAUAAGCACCGGCUAACUACGUGCCAGCAGCCGCGGUAAUACGUAGGGUGCAAGCGUUAAUCGGAAUUACUGGGCGUAAAGCGUGCGCAGGCGGUUUGCUAAGACCGAUGUGAAAUCCCCGGGCUCAACCUGGGAACUGCAUUGGUGACUGGGCAGGCUAGAGUAUGGCAGAGGGGGGUAGAAUUCCACGUGUAGCAGUGAAAUGCGUAGAGAUGUGGAGGAAUACCGAUGGCGAAGGCAGCCCCCUGGGCCAAGUACUGACGCUCAUGCACGAAAGCGUGGGGGAGCAAACAGGAUUAGAUACCCCUGGUAGUCCACGCCCUAAACGAUGUCAACUAGUUGUUGGGGAUUCAUUUCCUUAGUAACGUAGCUAACGCGUGAAGUUGACCGCCUGGGGAGUACGGUCGCAAGAUUAAAACUCAAAUGAAUUGACGGGGUCAUAGCUGUUUCCU
rnacentral:rRNA from 1 species